GAGAGGAAGAAGAAGAAGGAGCCGUGAAGAUCAUAUCCUCCAUCGUCCACCUUGAAGACUUGCUUCCAAGAUUCAAGAUCCAACCAUCAAGCUCUCCAUCUCCAUCUCCACUCACGGGUUAAAUUGCGCGCUUACUCAUAGCGCUGUCAUUCCCAUGCUCAGGUAAGGGCCUCUCAGGCCAAAAGUACUCCUAUAUUCCCGUACCUUUAUGCCUCAGAGGCGGAUAGUGUAUUGGGAUUUCGUGAUACCGCCACUAAGGCAGCACCAGAUCACCACAAAGGCGGAAAAGACUUUCAUGACUCCACUGCGAAGGUAGUAGUCACAUCACCUCGAAAGGCGGAACAACAUGCUAGCAUGGUAAUAUGAUCACAACAAGUAUGACAUAUGAAAAAUCGAAAAUCGAUAUGCUUUCCCAAAAUCUCGCAACCAAGGCACAAAUACAGUUCCCAACUGUACUUGAAAAAUCUCAAGUAAAAAGACAUGCUCAAAAACAUAAUAACAAAAGCGAUUAGCAAUUUCCAUAUGAUUUCCCAAAUCAAUAAUUAAUAAAGUGUGAAAUUAAAGAAAUUCAUAAUUCAAUUAAUAAAUAUGUUUCGGAAAAUUCAAUAUUAUUUAAAUCCGUCAAGCAGGUUCAAUUCCGAACGUCAUACAGAAGUCAAGUCAAGUAAGCCAUUCAAAAUUCAUUUUCGAAAAUAAUGACCAAAAACCAAAUCAAUAAACCAAACUCAAAUGCAUUAAAUAAAUAAUACGAUAAUUAGUUAAAGAAAACAAUAUUUCGAGAGGAAAACUUUUCUCCUAACCUUUAGAGCCGUUUUUCCGUCAGGUAUGUAUGCCUGGUCGACAGCACGCCCUCGCGGCGGCGACGUCGGACAGGCCAGAGUGGACCUUGUGUCCGGGUUUAUGUGGUCUAGCUGGAGGAAGGAUUGUGGAGUGACGACGGCGCUACCUUGGGCGUUUGGAGAAUCUAAUGGGGAAGGGCAGCGACGGGAUGGUAGGAUGGCAGGGCUGAGGUUGCGUUACUUCAGAGAGAAGCGCAGAUGCUCUGGUUCAUGGAUCGAGGUGGUGACGCGGGAGCGGAAGGCGCCUGGUGGUGUUGGCCACGUGGUGGCAACACUGAGAUCUACUCUGCUCAGGUCGGAUCCAUCUUAUUCGAUUGGGGAAGGACGGUUUGGCUUCAAUCUGGAGAGGGGCGACGAGUCCAAUAGGCGUGAGGUAGGCGGUGGCGGCGCGGCUGCCGGUGGUGGGAUGGCAUGGGCAGCGCAGGCGGGGUGGUGGUGUCGUGGAGUCUGCAACCUGAAUUUUGGGCUUGGACCUAGUGGUUUGUGGGUCUGGGCUUUGGAUCUGGACUCCUGUUAUUUUCUAAAUUUAAUUUACUGUUUUUUUAUUAUUAUAUUUAGUAAGAUGUGGCUUUAUGCCAGAAAUAAGUCCCUAUCACUAUUGGGUAGGGCGAUGUGAGCGUUGUCCCGAUAUGCACACUCAAUGUGCUUUGUCUAGCCUACCGAGGCGGCGAGCUGUUUGCAUGGUUAAAUGGACGCAACCUCCUAGUGGUAGGAUGAAACGAAGUGUCGCUAGAUUUAUUUCCGUGCGGCAACAUAGUGGGAAAGCUGUAUUAUUUGUAAUGAUGCUUCUUUGUGAUAGAGUUAUCUUUUCGGUAUGUCAUUGCUAUGCAUGUCAAAGCAAAUAGAGUAGCCAUUCGUGCACACUUUGCUAAUUGGUGCUUGUUAGAAUACAUAGAUUUUGUGGAGAUUCCUGGUAUUAUUUCAGGAUGUUAUCUCGAUGCUUAUUGUAAUUUGGGGUUCAGGCUUCACGUUCCCCCUUUGUAUUCUGCAGUUUCA